rnacentral:tRNA from 1 species
UGUAAAGAGGGGCUACACCCCAUAAAUGGAAUUACAACCCACCGCCUACGUUCAGCCACCUUUAC